rnacentral:rRNA from 1 species
UACGAAAGGUGCAAGCGUUACUCGGAAUCACUGGGCGUAAAGCGCACGUAGGCGGACUCGUAGGUCAAUUGUGAAAUACCUGGGCUCAACCCAGGAACUGCAGUUGAAACCGCUUGUCUUGAAUACCUGAGAGGGUGGAGGAAUACCUGGUGGAGAAGUGAAAUUCGUAGAGAUCAGGUGGAACACCGGAGGCGAAGGCGCCUGCCUGGCAGUGUAUUGACGCUGAGGUGCGAAAGUGCGGGGAGCAAACAGG